rnacentral:rRNA from 1 species
ACGGGAAUCCAAGAGCGUAUGGUGGAUGCCUUGGCUAGAAGAGGCGAUGAAGGACGCAGCGUGGCGGCGAUACGCUUCGGGGAGGUGCCGAGCAACCUUUGAUCCGGAGAUGUCCGAAUGGGGAAACCCCAUAGAGUGAACCUCUAUGACGUAUGCACUAUUAGCAUACGAGCGCACCCUGGGAAGUAAAACAUUUCAGUACCAGGAGGAAAAGAGAUCAAUAGAUAUUUCGCAAGUAGCGGCGAGCGAAAACGAAACAGCCCAAACUCAAUCUAAAUCGUAUCGUGCGACAUGUCGUGCGAUUCGAUUUAGAUUGGGGGUAGUAAGGCGGAGACGUGCCAAUUUAUUGGCAGAGAAGUUACAAAAUUUUUUGUUAGGAGAAUGUGCUGGAAAGCACAGCCCCAGAGGGUGAUAGCCCCGUACUCGAAAAUAAAAAAUCUUCUUUGUUUCCGUUCUUGAGUACCUCGAGACACGAAUGGCUCGGGGGAAUCCGCCGGAACUAACCGGCAAGGCAAAAUACUCUUCUAGACCGAUAGUGAACUAGUACCGUGAGGGAAAGGUGAAAAGUAGCCCGGUAAGGGCGUUGAAAUAAACCUGAAACCAUAUGCUUACAAAGAGUCACGGCGGGUGUCGCAAGACAUCCGUUGUGGCGUGCCUAUUGAAGAAUGAGCCAACGAGUUUUAGCAACCUGCAGGCUAAGGUCGAGAGACCGGAGCCACAGGGAAACCGAGUGUGAAUAGCGCGUUCGUAGGUUGCUAAAGACCCGAAGCCAGGUGAGCUUGCCAUGAGCAGGAUGAACUUCCGGGAAACCGGGAGGAAGGUCCGAACGCUAGAGUUGUGCAAUUCUCUGCGAUGACUUGUGGUAAGGAGUGAAAAGCUAAUCGAACCUGGUAAUAGCUGGUUCUCUCCGAAAUAUGUUUAGGCAUAGCGUCGCGCGUUCCCCAGAGGGGUAGAGCACUGGAAGAUCUUGACAGGGCGAAAGCUCACAAGACCUAUCAAACUCCGAAUACUCUGGAUCAUAGCGCGGCAGUAAGUCCGUGGGGGCUAAGCUCCACCGGACAAAAGGGAAACAGCCCUUGAUCUCCAUUUAAGGUCCCUAAAUCCAUGUUAAGUACGCUUAAGGUGGUGGAAUUUCUCCGACAAUGAGGAUGUAGGCUUAGAAGCAGCCAUCAUUAAAAGAUAGCGUAACAGCUCACUCAUCGAGAGAUUCCGCGCCGCAGAUAAUCGGGGUUUAAACAUGGUACCGAAACUGAGGGCUUGCGAGUUCUUAGGAAUUCGCAAGCGGUAGGAGAGUUUUCUCGUCUGCGUUGAAGGCAAAGGCGUGAGCCAUGCUGGAGCGUCGAGAAGUAAGAAUGUUGGCACAAGUAACCACAAUGCGGGUGGGAAUCCCGCACGCCGAAAGACCAAGGUUUCCUUCGCAAUGUAAAUCAGCGAAGGGUUAGUCGAUCCUAAGGGGAUGACAAAUGUCGCACCCGAUGGAAGCACGGUUAAUAUUCCGUGACUUGUAUGUUAAACGAUGAAGGGACGGAGCAUAGUACAUAUGGCUCGUUAUUGGAUUUGAGUUCAUAGAGCGAAGAAUGAAAGUAGGAAAAUCCGCUUUCUGCCUUUAAUGGCGAUUCACAGCUUCGUGGAAAGGUUCCGGUUCGCCGGGACUGAUCAUAUCGAGCAUGCUUCCGAGAAAAUCUUCUAAGUAUAUUUUCAUACAAAUCGUACCGCAAACCGACACAGGUGGUCAGGGCGAGUAGCCCAAGGCGAACGAGUGAGAGGUCUUCAAGGAACUCGGCAAAAAAGCGGCCGUACCUUCGGUAUAAGGCCUGCCCCAUGUUAAGUCAUGGGGCCGCAGCUAAAGUUUCUCUGGCGACUGUUUAUCAAAAACACAGCUCCCUGCGAACUCGAAAGAGGAUGUAUAGGGGGUGACACUUGACCAAUGCCCGAAGGUCAAAUAGCGCCGUUGCGUGGUCGCAAGAUUACGUGGUGAGUGCUAUAAGCCCGGGUGAAUGUCGGCGAUAACUAUAAUCGUCCUAAGGUAGCGCAAUUCCUUGUCAGGUAAGUUCUGACGCGUUGAAAAGUGUAACGUCUGGAGAACUGUCUCGAAGACUCGCUCGGUGAAAAUACAGUAUCGGUGAAGAUGCCGAUUACCUGCAGUUAGACGAAAAGACCCUAGAAGCUUUACUGCAACUUGAUUUUGACUAUAUGUUCUUGAUGCGUAGCGUAGUUGGUAGGAUUUGAAGUUUACCUUUCGGGGUAGAUGGAUCCGACGAUGAAACACCAAUCUUUAAGAAUAUAUAGUCUAACCUGGCCGGCAAAAACGGCCAGAGACAGAAUCUGGCGGGCAGUUUUAGUGGGGCGCUAUCCUUGGGUGCAUCAAUCUUUUGAUUGGUACAUCCAAUCCGUGGCGCCUCGCGAAGUGUUCACUUCAAAACAAAUAAAAUAGGAGGACUUUGACUAGCAAUAGUCAUCGAAAAGUUAGCUAUAUGCUGGAAUAUCCGAGUAUCUUCAAGUACCUUGAGUUUAUCGAAAGGUAAAAAUCUUGAAGUGCGGACGAUCAGCAGGAAAUGCUUACUUGUACAUUGAAUAAUGGAAAGUAAUUGAUCUACGAAAACUAGUUAGAAAUGGGCUGUUUCCCACAGCUGUCAUAGGCUGGAACGAGCGACGAGCUUGUUUGGGGAAAUCCGAGAGUGGUUUCACUUAAUCGUGCUCUUUUAGGGAGUGAACGGAACCUCUGUUUUCUAAAUUAUCAGUUAACACCAUUAGUGACACGGGAUGAAUAUGAAUGGUUCCGUGUCACUUCCAUUAUUCAAUGUAUAAGUUUGCUUCCCCAGAGACUACACGCUAGCCGUCCAUUGACAGUUUGGGAUUUAUCCCGAGCCCGUCGAGGGAUGAUGAUAUAGUCCGAACUUACGGGCGACCGUAAGAGUGCGACAGAAAUGUUCGCAUCGUGUUCAAGCAUUUUGCCUU